UGUCAACAACAUUUUCUUGUUGCCAAAGAAGAAAGAACGCUUCGAGUUGAACAAAAGUACACGUAUCCUAUGGAUUCUUAAUAUUUAACACGAUCAGACCUAAAAACAACAAGGCUUACAUACUGUCUUCAAAAUGCCUGAACCUGCAGACUCGAUGUUUAAAGAAAAAGUUCAAAAACUUGAACGGUUACUGAGGGCGAGGGAGGAACGAAUCGUAGCACUAGAGACUGAAAAUGCUAUGCUUUAUCUUAAACUAGCUGAGUGCCAGGGAAGUGUGAGAACAUCAAGAUUUGAAUCAAGUCAUUUCAGAAGACUUUUUGAAGCUGAAACAGGAUUUAGAAGCAAUGUGAAAAAGUCAUGUAAAUCUCUUAAAAAAGAAUUGAAGACUCUCAAAACUGAUCUUAAUGAGUUGCGAGUGACAGUCAAAGAAAUGCCUGCAGAUUUUGCAAAGGAUUUGAAGAAGGCUAGAGAGAUGACAUCACAAUUUGGAUCCGAAGGGCUGUCAAGCAUUGAAAAGAUUCAGUCCAAACUGAUGGAAACAGAACUAAAGCUUGAUACAGCACUGUUGAAGGCGGCAACAGAAAAGAACAGGAGAAUGACCCUGCACAAUACACUUGUGGAAAUUCGUGGUAACAUCAGAGUCCACUGCCGUAUUCGUCCUCUCAUUGUUGGUAUUGAUUCCCCGGAUGAAGCUUCACUGGGCAAACCAGGUACCCCUUCAGAACAAGUUGUUAACUAUGUUGAUGAGGAAACACUCUCAUAUGUGUCAAUCAAGUCUAAUGGAGAACGAAUCAUGCAACAGAAGGAGUUCGAACAUGUCUAUAAUGAUAUGGAUGAUCAGAAGAAGAUUUUUGAUGAUGUCAAGACUCUACUCACUUCACUACUGGAUGGGUACAACGUAUGUAUCAUGGCAUAUGGUCAGACAGGCUCCGGCAAGACACACACAAUGUUAGGGAGCCAUGACGUUAAUGUGGAUAUUGACUCUGAAGAACUUAACAAAGAUGAAGGAAUCAUUCCCAGAGCAGCCAAGGAGAUUUUCAAGUUGAUAGCAGAGCGUGAGACGCUCACAGAAACCUAUUCGGUGGAGAUGUCAGUCUGUGAGAUCUACAACAAUGAUGUACGAGACUUGCUGGCGCCCAACAAGAACGAAAAGCUGAACAUCAUAACAAGCAGUGACGGUGACACGGACAUCCCAUCCUUGGUUACCAAACCAGUAUCCAACUUCAACGAAGUAAUGAAUCUGGUGUACUUUGGUAUGUGUCGACGUCAUGAGGACGCCACUAUGGUGCAUGCGCACUCAAGUCGUUCUCAUCUUAUCGUCCAAUUACAAGUGUUCAUGACGACCAAUCAGCAACCAGUAGCACGUGUAUCAACGCCCAGUUCAGAAGCCGCGCCUUCGCCACCGGGCACGCCCACCAGAACACGUAAAAACCUACCGCAGCUUGCUAAUCACGUCAGCAGGUCACAGUCUCCUGCUCCCAAAGGACGCACCAUGCGACAAACACGUUCAAAAUCUCCUGCUCCAGGUAGCGCAGCAGCUCGUUCCAGGUCACCAUCUCCUUCACGGUCGAGUACUGGUACCCCUCCACCUAUCUCUACCACUGUCAAAACUAAACUCCAGUUAGUUGAUUUGGCUGGCAGCGAGUGCGUGGGUUUGUCUGGUGUGACAGGAGCAGCAUUACGAGAGACGUCAUUCAUUAACAAAAGCUUGAGUGCUUUGGCCGACGUUCUGGGAGCACUAGCUGAGCACAGAUCACAUAUACCGUACAGAAAUACCCGUUUGACUCACAUGCUGCAGGAUACUAUAGGUGGAAAUGCCAAGCUACUCGUCAUGCUCUGUGUUUCUCCUGCACAAAAGUACAUUACCGAGACUCUACAGUGUAUAGGCUUCGGGUCACGUGCCCGCCAGGUGGCACGUGGUCCCACCAAGAAGAGAAGACCUACGUCAUUUGUCCCCAACAGCAGCUUGUCGCUAGAUUUGAGUCAAGUCAAUGCAUCUCUUCGCUCGAAUGGCAACCUGUCACCGAGAUUUGACCCGACUAGACGGCGUGGAUCAAGAAAUUUUGCCUUCCCAGAUUAAACCUUGGGCACCUUGGUAAGAGAAGGCAUAAAACAAGGAAGUGUGAUGGCUUUUGUAAAUACUACACCUCCCUGAUAAAAUAUCUGGCUACGAGUCACUUGCAUAUUUCCUAGUAUGAUCGGGAUUUUAUGGAAUGUGGCAUGCGGUGCGAUACUUUAUACGAACAAGUUUUUACUAAAAAAAUAUCAAGGGACAAAUGGGAUAUUGUUUCACUAGAAAGCAUUGUAUAUCUAUUAUAUCCCACAAGGGCAUUGAAAAUGCCUCGAAAACAACACGAUGCUCAGCGUAAAGAAAUUGUGGAAUACUGCCAAAUUUACAAUGCAUUUGCAUGGUACAUUUGCAGGGUACUAGGGACAUUCUUCCUCGGUAGAUGGGUCAACCUCUCUUCUUCUAAAUGGAACAUUAAUCUUAAUCUCUCRCGUUCAUCUUCCCUUCACAUCUCUCUCUUCCUUCACUUACCCCCUUUUUUAGUGCUAUCCACGCUGUGAACAACCACGCCCUGCUGUUUUCCCAUUUUAGAUCAUGCGUCAUUCAUUCCCUAGAGUAUCAUGUCUUUAUUUAAUGGAUGCACAUGAGAAGACACAUGACUGUGAAUAUAACUCAAACAAAGAAUUCURUUCUCAAGAGAAUGACAUGUGAUCAGAAAUGGGAAAGUUUCCUUAUACAGUAAAUGGAUAAGGUCUAUUGAUUUUGCAUCAAUCUCAGGCUUUGCUAUCAAUCAUAUUGAUUAUGAUAAUGAUUAUGAUUCCUUUAUAUCAACAAAGUAAUAUAUCAACAUUGAUUUAUUAGAUUAUUGUAAAUAGACAUGAAAUAAUGAUAAUAAUUCCAAGUGCUGYUGAAUAGCAGAAAUGUAAAUAUGAUGGCUUUGAGGAAAACACUAGUUUACUUAUAUGUUUUCACAGAUCAUGUCAUCUUUAGUGUAAAAACAUCUUGACAGUUGAUGUUAUACUUAAUUGAAAUAUAGCAAACAAUUCCCAUAACUAUUGUUCUGGGCUGACUAGCCUCGUUUUCACAUGGGAAUAUAAAAUCGUUUUCAUAGGUGUGAGAGGCUAGUCAGUCGCUGGUCAGUCYAGAACAAUAGUGUUAUUCAAAUUGGUCACCAUAUUUUGAUUCCGUGUAUAAGAAGAAAAAGCCAUUGUUACACUUAUGACAUGACCUCCAAGCAUCAACUCCUUGCAGUAGUUCCCCCAGAUAGAUAAGGACCAGAUAGAUAAGGACCACAUAGGUAAGGACCACAUAGGUAAGGAUCAGAUAGGUAAGGACCAAAUAGAUAAGGAUUUAGUGCAAGGGAGUCUAUAGGAAGCUUGAAACUUUGUUUUGCUUUUCAUCCAACAAGGUAGCAAGAAUCAUUUUCUAGCUUUACAAACCCACCUUUKUCAGAAAUAUUUUUUUUGUGUACUGAGUCUACAUGCUUUGAGCAUUACUUAAGAUGGCUCUUGCUAAUGCYAUACAUGUACUUAAAUAGUGUAUUAGAUUACAUGUAAUAAGAGGUUUUUUAAUCAAUAAAAUUCUUUUUUUUUAA